rnacentral:rRNA from 1 species
UUUAAGGUUUAACCUGCCCUAUGAUAAGUUAAAUGGCCGCGGUAUUUUGACCGUGCAAAGGUAGCAUAAUAAUUAGUUUUUUAAUUGGAAGCUGGAAUGAAUGGUUGGACGAGAAAAUUUCUGUCUCAAUUAGAUUUAUAUAUGAAUUUUAUUUUUGAGUAAAAAAGCUCAAAUUCUUUUAAAAGACGAGAAGACCCUAUAGAGUUUUAUAUUUUUUUUAUUAAGAGUUUUUUAGGAUUUUAUUUAUUUUUAUUAUUGAAAAUAUUUUGUUGGGGUGAUGGGAAAAUUAAAUUAACUUUUUUUUUGUUUUAUCAUUAAUUUAUGUUUUUUUGAUCCAAUUUUUUUGAUUGAAAGAUUAAAUUACCUUAGGGAUAACAGCGUAAUUUUUUUUAGAGUUCUUAUCGAAAGAAAAGUUUGCGACCUCGAUGUUGGAUUAAAAUUAACGUUUGGUGCAGUAGCUGAAUGGUUAGGUCUGUUCGACCUUUAAAAUUUUACA